rnacentral:rRNA from 1 species
UACGUAGGGUGCGAGCGUUAAUCGGAAUUACUGGGCGUAAAGCGUGCGCAGGCGGUUUUGUAAGUCAGAUGUGAAAUCCCCGGGCUUAACCUGGGAACUGCGUUUGAAACUACAAGGCUAGAGUGUGGCAGAGGGGGGUGGAAUUCCACGUGUAGCAGUGAAAUGCGUAGAGAUGUGGAGGAACACCGAUGGCGAAGGCAGCCCCCUGGGAUGAUACUGACGCUCAUGCACGAAAGCGUGGGGAGCGAACAGG